UACGUAGGGUGCAAGCGUUGUCCGGAAUUAUUGGGCGUAAAGAGCUCGUAGGCGGCCAGGUAGGUCCGUUGUGAAAACUCGAGGCUCAACCUCGAGACGCCGAUGGAAACCAUCUGGCUAGAGUCCGGAAGAGGAGAGUGGAAUUCCCGGUGUAGCGGUGAAAUGCGCAGAUAUCGGGAAGAACACCCGUGGCUAAGGCGGCUCUCUAGUACGGUACUGACGCUGAGACGCGAAAGCGUGGGGAGCGAACAGG
rnacentral:rRNA from 1 species